UACGUAGGGAGCAAGCGUUGUCCGGAAUCAUUGGGCGUAAAGCGCGCGUAGGUGGCCUCGUAAGUCCGCUGUGAAAGUCAAAGGCUCAACCUUUGAAAGCCGGUGGAUACUGUGGGGCUAGAGUACGGAAGAGGCGAGUGGAAUUCCUGGUGUAGCGGUGAAAUGCGCAGAUAUCAGGAAGAACACCUAUGGCGAAGGCAGCUCUCUGGGACGGUACUGACGCUGAGACGCGAAAGCGUGGGGAGCGAACAGG
rnacentral:rRNA from 1 species